rnacentral:rRNA from 1 species
UGCAGAGGAUGCUUUUGGCGAGGUGCAUUCCGAGUUCCCUGGAACGGGACGCCAUAGAGGGUGAGAGCCCCGUCUGGUCGGACACCAAGCCUGGUAAAGCUCCUUGGACGAGUCGAGUAGGUUGGGAAAUCUGCUCUAAAUGGGAGGUAUAUGUCUUCUAAAGCUAAAUAUUGGCCAGAGACCGAUAGCGCACAAGUAGAGGGAUCGAAAGAUGAAAAGCACUUUGAAAAGAGGGUUAAAAAGUACGUGAAAUUGUUGAAAGGGAAGCGCCUAUGACCAGACUUGGGCCCGGUGAAUCAUCCAGCGUUCUCGGUGGUGCACUUUGCCGGGCACAGGCCAGCAUCAGUUUGGCUUGGGGGAAAAAGGCUUAGGGAAUGUAGCUCCUCGGAGUGUUAUAGACCUGUGCAUAAUCCCCUGGGC